UGGGGAAUUUUGGACAAUGGGCGCAAGCCUGAUCCAGCCAUGCCGCGUGCGGGAAGAAGGCCUUCGGGUUGUAAACCGCUUUGUCAGGGAAGAAAUCUUCUGAGUUAAUACCUCGGGAGGAUGACGGUACCUGAAGAAUAAGCACCGGCUAACUACGUGCCAGCAGCCGCGGUAAUACGUAGGGUGCAAGCGUUAAUCGGAAUUACUGGGCGUAAAGCGUGCGCAGGCGGUUUUGUAAGACAGAGGUGAAAUCCCCGGGCUCAACCUGGGAACUGCCUUUGUGACUGCAAGGCUUGAGUGCGGCAGAGGGGGGAUGGAAUUCCGCGUGUAGCAGUGAAAUGCGUAGAUAUGCGGAGGAACACCGAUGGCGAAGGCAAUCCCCUGGGCCUGCACUGACGCUCAUGCACGAAAGCGUGGGGAGCAAACAGGAUUAGAUACCCUGGUAGUCCACGCCCUAAACGAUGUCAACUGGUUGUUGGGAAGGUUCCUUCUCAGUAACGUAGCUAACGCGUGAAGUUGA
rnacentral:rRNA from 1 species